rnacentral:rRNA from 1 species
UACGGGAGGCAGCAGUGGGGAAUAUUGCACAAUGGGCGAAAGCCUGAUGCAGCUAUGCCGCGUGUAUGAAGAAGGCCUUAGGGUUGUAAAGUACUUUCAUCGGGGAGGAAAAAACAAAACUAAUAAUUUUAUUUCUUGACGUUACCCGAAAAAGAAGCACCGGCUAACUCCGUGCCAGCAGCCGCGGUAAUACGGAGGGUGCUAGCGUUAAUCAGAAUUACUGGGCGUAAAGAGCACGUAGGUGGUUUUUUAAGUCAGAUGUGAAAUCCCUGGGCUUAACCUAGGAACUGCAUUUUGAAACUGAAAUACUAGAGUAUCGUAGAGGGAGGUAGAAUUCUAGGUGUAGCGGUGAAAUGCGUAGAUAUCUGGAGGAAUACCUGUGGCGAAAGCGGCCUCCUAAACGAAUACUGACACUGAGGUGCGAAAAGCGUGGGGAGCAAAACAGGGAUUAGAUACC